rnacentral:rRNA from 1 species
UGGGGAAUUUUGCACAAUGGGGGAAACCCUGAUGCAGCGACGCCGCGUGAUUUAGAAGGCCUUCGGGUUGUAAAAAUCUUUUCUAUGGGAAGAAAAUGACAGUACCAUAGGAAUAAGGACCGGCUAAUUACGUGCCAGCAGCCGCGGUAAUACGUAAGGUCCGAGCGUUGGCCGGAAUCAUUGGGCGUAAAGGGUACGUAGGCGGGUAAGCAAGUUAGAAGUGAAAUCCUAUAGCUCAACUAUAGUAAGCUUUUAAAACUGCUCAUCUUGAGGUAUGGAAGGGAAAGUGGAAUUGCUAGUGUAGCGGUGAAAUGCGCAGAUAUUAGGAGGAGUACCGGUGGCGAAGGCGACUUUCUGGCCAUAACCUGACGCUGAGAUACGAUAGCGUGGGUAGCAAACAGG